CCUACCGAAUCCCCCUGGGAGAUUCAGGACCCUGGAACCAGCACUUUUACCAAAACGCCAAGUGAUUCGAUGCAGGAGAUGGUACAUGGACGACGCUGAGAAACAGGACUUGAAGGGAAAGAUUUUUGGACUCCAUCCCUGUUUUCCAUGUUCUUGGAUGCAAUCCAAUGCUGAGCGACGGUGCACAGCCAGAAGGUGUUGUCCCACUGAACCCUCACCACAACCCUGUGGGGUAAGUACUGCUACUGUCCCCGUUUUUCCAGUCCAAGAUCACACAGCGAAGACAAGGAAGAGCCAGGGUUUCCGCCCGAGCCGCCCAGCUCUGGAGCUCACACGAUUAAUCGCUGCUCUCUAUGAACAAAAACGUGUUCUUCUUACUGCGGUCUUCAUUCUACAAAUGAGGAGACUGAGGGACAGAGCACAGAGGUUUCUACCUUCCUCCUCGGGCUUCGCGUUCUCGUUUCGGGUGACAGGAAGUGACUAGAAAAAGAGCCAGAUAGUGAGACAGCAGGUGAGGAAAUCAGAAACCUGCACCUGCCAAUCUAGGAAUCAGUCCAACACGCCUUAUGGAACUGACACCUGGCCGCCCAGAAGAUGAAGCUUCUAGCCCAAGCUCAAAAAACAGAUGAAGGACAGAAGCAGAACUGGAACUCAGUCUCAUGAGUCCAGUGGCCCUGCUCUUCUGAAACUCCAACACAGGACUGGAAUCUAGAUUUUUUCUCCUUGCAGUGGAAGGACAGUUUGACUGUUAUUAAAUCUUCUACCUCUUCUACCUCCUUCUCUGAGAGAAGCCAACCGAGCAGCCGUGGGGAAGCCCAAGCCUUUCUUUCUUUGGCAUACGGCAGUGUUUCAACUUCAAGCAGAUGGUGGGAGGGAGGGGUCUCCCCAAACCUGGGUGGGGCUCUGCACCUUCUGCUUUAGCCAGAGGGCUGCAAGCACUUAAGCCAAAAUUCUGGCACAGAACAUCAUUCUUAUUCCCUAUCUCUCCUCUCAAAUCCUGAGAAUCAGUUUCCCUGAGUGAGUGCUGGCAAGAACCUGUCAUCCCUGUGACUUACUCAUCUGAACUGGGGGGAAAGAGCUGUGUGCGCACCAGCAGCGCUGGGUGCCCAGGGAGACACGCAGGACUCGGCCUGGGGAAACAUGAAAGGCAUCGCUCAGGAAGGUGCAACCACCCUGGGUGCUUCAGAGGUGGGUGUUGUUUUGCUUUUGUUUGUGUCUGUCCCCAUUCCUGCUACACGGAGCCUGCAAAUAUCAGAACCAAGAUUGUAUAACACAGAUAAGCAAAAUUAUUUCCAUCACAAGAGGGGAAAACCCACCACAGACCAAAGACUGGGCCAGAGGACACGGGGAGGGGGAGGAGAGAUGGUUCAAAUGCACAAUAACAGUGCAAGUCCACAUUCACUGAACACAAAAGUGUACCAGGCACAGUCCCUGCAGCAUGUCAUUUGAUCCUCACAGCAGAGCCCCACAAGGUAGAAGGCAGGUGCUGUUAUGUGAAUCUGCCGCCGAAAAGGAAUGUAAGAUCACACAGACAGCACCAGUGAAGGCUGAAUUCAAAUGCACGUUAUUUCUCUGUUAGUGUGUAUGGCUUAACCAUGAGGCUAGAAGGUCAGCUAAAUGAAGAGAGGCAUGUGAGAGCAAUAACAAUUUGGAAAGGAGUUUUAGCGGGGUGUAGGAGUGGCUCAGGUAAUGCACAUUAGGGCCCCCCAGCCUUUGGGGACCAGUCAUCUUCCAUUUUAGCAAGGUCUCCAAAAUCCAUUAAGCACAUUUCACAGGUGAAGAGAUGGAAAGAUUCCACAAAAAGUUCACUGUGGAGAAGCAACAGUUAAGCACUCUCCUGCUCCCCCUCUGUCAAGUUUAAGGUUCCUAAGUGGGAAGAAUUAUCAGGGUCACAUCUGGCACCACAAAGCCUUAGUGUGAAUUCGAAAGUGACACCUCUUGUGGGUGGAUAAAUUGUAAAACCAUGCCCCUCUGGGAGGCCCCUCAUGCAAGGGUGACAUCUCAAAUAGGGCCUGCUGCCUGGGCUGGGGGGUGGGUCAGAUUUCAGCCCCCUUCCUGCCAAGCAAGACAGCAGCAACAGGCCCUGUGGGAGGCAAGCUUGUUUCCCCACCCAGCAUGCUUUGCACCUGUCAAGCCCGGGUCACUCUUGCUGAGCUAUUACCAUCUUUUGGUGGUUGUUCCACACGACUGUGGUCUUAAUGUCAGCUCAGAAGAGGGCACAACCCCAUUACUAGAUUACUCAAAGUGCUGGUUUUCGCCUUCUUUUUUUUCACCACAUCCAAGGACAUGGCACCCAAAUCUUCCCCAACCUCACUGGUUUGACUCAAGAAGCCAGGCUGGCCUCAGUAUGCACGGGCAGUCCAGAGAUCGUAAUUGUAUUAUUUUGUCUCUUUUCAAUAGAACAAAUCACCUAAAAUGGUUCGUUUAUUUUGUCCUUGGGUUCUGUAGAAGGACAUGAAAAGUAAUUGGAAUUUUAUAAACUUUUUUUAAGCCUGGCUAAAAACUCAAGGUAAAUAUGAACCAUUUAGUAUAAACAAUUGGGAAAUAAAUUUGGUCAUAACUUAGAUAUAGCUGUUUCCACUUCUGGAAAUUUAUGGUAAAGAAAUGCACAAAAAGGCCUGCAAAACUUCUAUUCACAAAGAUAUUCACUGUUGUAUUAUUUAUAAUGGGGAAAAUGAAAAUCAGCUCCUUUUUAUGGAAAAACACGUAAGUUGGGUGAAUUAUGGUAUAUAUCACCAAAUAGUUUCACACAGUUUUUAGAACUUGUGUUUAAUAGAUGAUGUGAAAUGUCUACGAUGUUAUGUUAUGGGGAAAAUAUCAGGAAACAUAUGAAUUAGAGUAUGAUUCCAACUCUAAGACAUGCUUUAAAAAUUCAGAAAGAUGAUAUACUAAAAGCCAUCUUAUUGUACCUAAUGAUAAAAAACUAACAUUUAUUGAGUUUUCACUAUGUGCUAGGUACCAUUCCAAGUCAUUUACAUAUAUCAACUCAGUUUAUCCUUGUAGCAAGACCUUGAGGUUAAAUACAAUUAUUAUAAUUCCCAUUUUGCAAAUGAAGGAACUGAGGUGGACCAAAGUUGCCCAAGCCACCUAGCAAAUUAGGGAGAAGUUAGAGGCCCUAACAAUCACGCCUCCUCCCUGUCGAUCAGCUAAUUGAAAACCAGAAAAAGGAGCAUAGAGAAUCGCUAAAAAUGUCACCUACAACAGAGGGAGCCUGGACCACCUUGUCAUAACAGAGGGCAGGGAAACUAUCAAAGACUAGACGAGUCAUGUCAAAACAACUUAAGAGCUAAAUGGAAGAUGGGCCUCUGGGCAAAACAAACAAUCAAAUCUGAGAAUCAGUAACUGCAAUGGAUUGAAACACAUCAAGAUUUUUAAACCUAUGGGUUUAAAAUUACUUGUGGAAAAAAAAAACCCUCAUUGGUCACCUUUAGAGGAGCUAGAAAAUAACUCAUUAUGUAGAAAAGUGAUAAAGAGAGGGAUAAAAUCAAGCAUUUAUCCCACCUUUACUGCAUGGAACUCAGGGUAACUCAUUGAUGAGAGUGAAUUCCUUUCUAUGGAAACCUUUCAGAUGAUAAAUAAGGCCGAAUGAUAGAAUAGCACCAUUUUUUCACUUCUGAUAAUAUAAUGUGUUAGGCAAUUACAUUACAUUACAGGAAAAGACAUAGACAGUAUGUGCUUCCUGAUGGAAUCAUCACAUCACCAUCGAUGAAGCACUGAAGCAAAAAAACAAAACAAAACCCUGAAUUUAGAUGGAUUUCCAAUUUUUAAGGCAUUGCAGAAGACAGAGGAAGAUUUCAAAUCACACCAUGGGGAGUGAAAUCAGCAAAAUCCAGACCGUGGGAGACUUUGCAGGGCACAGGACCUGAUUUCUUCUACACACAAAUUACAAGGAGAAAAGGGGAGAGGGGACUUAUAGAUUUAAGAAGACUGAUUGCAGUGAUCUUAUUUGGUGAGAAAUGUCUCGGAAUAUGUUUUGAAAUAAUCAAGGAAAUUUAAAUACUGCCUGGAUAUUUGAUUAAGUUAGGGGAUUACUGUUCAUUUUUUUAGGUGUGGUCAUGGUAUUACAGUUAUAUAUUUUAAAAAAUGUUCUUGUCUUUUAGAGAUGCAUUCUGAAAUAUUUACGGUUGCAAAUGCAUGAUUUCUAGGAUUCACUUUAAUAUAUUCCAAGAACAGUUGGGAAGUGAAUGGGGGCGAGAUGCUGUAAAGAUUGGUCGUGAAUCAUUAUUGUUGAAGCUGAGUGAUGGUACAUGGGGGCUCAUCGUACUCUUCUUCCUACUUUUG